AGAAUAAGGACGCGUGUUUGUUCGUAACUCGCCGGGCUCGUAGGUAGAAGCUGAGUUUUGUUUUGCUUCCGCCCUGCAAGCCCGGUAGCUGGGAACAAAUUUCGCUUAGCUCCGACUGU
rnacentral:precursor_RNA from 15 species